UACGAAGGGGGCUAGCGUUGCUCGGAAUUACUGGGCGUAAAGGGCGCGUAGGCGGUUCGAUAAGUCCCGUGUGAAAUCCCUCGGCUCAACUGAGGAACUGCACGGGAAACUGACGGGCUUGAGUUCGGGAGAGGGAAGCGGAAUUCCGGGUGUAGCGGUGAAAUGCGUAGAUAUCCGGAGGAACACCGGUGGCGAAGGCGGCUUCCUGGACCGACACUGACGCUGAGGCGCGAAAGCUAGGGGAGCAAACGGG
rnacentral:rRNA from 1 species